AUCACAAUAUUAAAUUAAAUGUAAUAUCUGUUUUAUCAGUUUAAUAUCUGAUAUGUGACCAUCAGUUCAUACGAUAUUAAAUUAAUUUUUUGAAAGGAAGAUCUAUCAUAGUAUUUUGUUACUGGGGUCUUCGAGUAUCGCCCAUACAUUACACUAUUGUAGCGUCUGACGCACCCCAC
rnacentral:snRNA from 1 species